AAGUGGGGAUGACGUCAAAUCAUCAUGCCCCUUAUGACCUGGGCUACACACGUGCUACAAUGGUUGGUACAACGAGUUGCGAGUCGGUGACGGCGAGCUAAUCUCUUAAAGCCAAUCUCCAGUUCGGAUUGUAGGCUGCAACUCGCCUACAUGAAGUCGGAAUCGCUAGUAAUCGCGGAUCAGCACGCCGCGGUGAAUACGUUCCCGGGCCUU
rnacentral:rRNA from 1 species